rnacentral:rRNA from 1 species
GCUGGCGGCGUGCCUAACACAUGCAAGUCGAACGGUAACAGGGCUAGCUUGCUAGCCGCUGACGAGUGGCGCACGGGUGAGUAACGCGUGGGUAACCUGCCCAUCAGUGGGGAAAAACUCCGGGAAACCGGAGCUAAUACCGCAUACGACCUUCGGGUGAAAGAGGGGGAUCUUCGGACCUCUCGCUGAUGGAUGGGCCCGCGUCCGAUUAGCUUGUUGGUGAGGUAAUGGCUCACCAAGGCUCCGAUCGGUAACUGGUUUGAGAGGAUGAUCAGUCACACUGGAACUGAGACACGGUCCAGACUCCUACGGGAGGCAGCAGUGGGGAAUUUUGCACAAUGGGCGAAAGCCUGAUGCAGCGACGCCGCGUGCGGGAAGAAGGCCUUCGGGUUGUAAACCGCUUUCAACAGGGAAGAAGGAAUGAGGGCUAAUACCCCUCUGCCUUGACGGUACCUGUAGAAGAAGCACCGGCUAAUUUCGUGCCAGCAGCCGCGGUAAUACGAAAGGUGCAAGCGUUGUUCGGAUUUACUGGGCGUAAAGCGCGCGUAGGCGGCUAAUCAAGUCGGAUGUGAAAUCCCGGGGCUCAACCCCGGAACUGCAUUCGAAACUGGUUGGCUAGAGUUCGAGAGGGGGAUGCGGAAUUCCGAGUGUAGCAGUGAAAUGCGUAGAUAUUCGGAGGAACACCUGAGGCGAAGGCGGCAUCCUGGAUCGACACUGACGCUGAGGUGCGAAAGCGUGGGUAGCAAACAGGAUUAGAUACCCUGGUAGUCCACGCCCUAAACGAUGUCUACUAGCCGUUGCGGGUAUCGACCCCUGCAGUGGCAAAGCUAACGCGAUAAGUAGACCGCCUGGGGAGUACGGCC